UUACAUCCAGAAUGCCUGCCUAUAUCUGAACAUAAAUAUUUGUGUAAUAAUAACAUAUAAGAAUAAUCUCUAUAUUUAAAUAUGCCAAAGUCUAAGGAUGAUGGAAAUACAUUGAAGCAGGCAUCCCAAAAGCUGGGGCCUCAAGCCCCGGCCAAACAGCCAAGAAAGGCUCUUCUUCUGGCGUUGCCUCAGGUAGAGUCGGCUUUCAGGCUGGCACGUUCCACUGCUCACUCACAGUUAGCUUUCAGUCAACACCAGAGUCUUUAUCCACACAGAUGGGAGUUGUCAUAUUUUUCCCAUUUUAUCUUUUGUAGUUGAUUUUUUAAAAUUAAAAGCAGACAACUAUAUUGUUACCUGUAUUAAAUUUUUAUCUAGUAGACACAGCAUUAUACUUUGGCCUGUCCAGAUAUUUUAAGCCCGUCAGAGUAUUCCUUGUCUCUUCCAAUGCCCACCAGCUGGAGACCCAUUUGGUAUUUUAUCAGUAUCACAUCCGAAUUACUGGUAAACUGCUGAUCAAAACACAUCACAGAAAGUGCCCUACAGUGGCUACUAAGCCCUUCUGGUUGAAAUUCUUCCGUUCAUGAGCACUUACUGAUGGUCAAAAGUCAAAAAAGACUUUAAACCAGUCAUUUAACCAUUUAGCUGCACUGUUGCAGCCCACAUUUCUCAAGGAUGUUUUGGGACUUUGUUAAAUGUCUUGCUAAAAUCCAAAUACAUUCAUUCUUUUGACCAAAUUCUCAUGAUUUCCUGUUACUUAUUCUAAGUGGAUCUGUGCUGCCUCUUGGAGAUCACUGCUUCACUUCUAAGUGCUUAUAAACCACUAAAGUAGGUUAUAUGCUUUUCUAAAAUUUUGCUCAGGAUUGAUAAAUUCAGUGGUCUAGGAUUUAAAGACAGGCUCUAACACACAAACCUUUGCAGCCAUGCACCUGCCUGAUCUUCCUACAUUAUUGGGUUGGUUGGACCCAAAGCAUAGCCCAACCUAAUUCAAGCACACAUGCAUCUAGUUCCUGCUGAGGUCCUGUGACAUGUGGGACACUUGCUAGAGGCUGUGAGCAUCUGAUCACGUUCCCUGAGCAGGAAGUGUGUUGGUAGCUGGGGCAGAGAGAGUGUGGGGCACCAUUUCAUAUGGCAUAGAAAGAGGCUGAAUGAUCAAAUGGAGAGGCGGGUGGUCCAUUGCAGAGUCAAGUCCAACCCACAGCAGGCCCAUGCCAGACUUUCAAAUCCAAAGGAGGCCACCCAGAAAGCAGAGCAAGUACAAACAAGUUGAAACAUCGGGGAGCCACGAGGAGCAGAGCUGAAUGAGAGGGUGGGUCAGGAGUAACUCCUGAGUCAGCUCUAUCUUGCUUCUAGCCAAUACUUGGCAUGACAGAGGGGGGGGCUGCCUGCCAGAAGGAAAUGAGAAGUUUAGUAAGAGUCAGUCCUGCUUAAAUGCCUGACAUUGUCAGCAUAAAAAGGAAAACUAUGUUGGCAUUAAAAUCCAUGCAUAUUUAUUUAGGUUAGAAUUUAGGAUAGUAAUACCCAAGUGUCUUCUGUAUGACAAGCACUGUUGUUUAUUAAUCCUCCUAACAGUGCCACUGUGAAGUAUGCCUAUGGUUCCUAUUUCACAGAUGAAGAAACCGAGGCCAUGCAAUUUGCAGAAAUUCACACAAUUAACAGGUGAGAUUUGAACUAGGCAAAUAUGACCCCAAAGUUGGUACUUGUAAUUCCUAUCCAUUACAGCCCCAUAGAAUGAAAAGGAAUUCUUUACAUAAAAUAAUUACUAUACUUCCUUGUCCAUGAUAAGGUGUGAAACAUCUUAACUAAACACCUUAUAUGCUCCUUCUUGGACCUUGUCAUCAGUUUCAGUGGCAAAGAGUUAAGCAGAGUUCAGCAGGAGGGCAGAAAAAAUAGGUUUUCUUAAUUUUCCAGGGCAAACCUUUAUAAUGUACCUUUAUGAUUUUUAUCACAGAAGAACUUUUAAACAAGUAAAUCCAAAGUUAAUAUAAAAAAUUCAAGGUGAAACACUUAACCCAUUUGGGUUAUCUGUAUUUUUGCUCCCAUUUAUUCUGAUAAGUUUUAACUGUUUAUCUAAAUGUGUACAUUUUUGUUAUAAUAAUGAGCUCUCAAUUCUCCCUCUGGCUACUUCUGGUUGUCUGUCUACUCCUUAUCUUCAUAAUAAGGACACUUUAUAGUUCUCUCUGCAAAUGGAGUGUCAUCUAACAGGGUGCUAAUGAUUUAUUUUGAAAGAGACAAUGUAUCUAAAAAUUAACUAGAUUAAAUCAGUCUUUACUUUCAUUUUAAAAGGAAAGUUUAUUCAUUCCUAAUGUUCCGUACACAUCUGUACUUGGAAAUUUCAUUUCAGACACAAAUGAAUAGAUUAUAUCUCCCAAAGCAAAAAGAUCUUGAUUAACUAAAACAGUACACAUUUACUUUAGCAUUAAGUCUGGCUGGCUAAUUCCACAGGAUCAAACAUUGCACUUAACUUGUGUCAGCUGGGAUCAGGGUAAAGGUAUUUCACGCGUCAUACAUUUUGCUUCAGCACACACUUAAUUCCCUAACAAUAUUCAAUUUCACAUUUAAAAAGCAAAUCAGUCAUUAAUUCCUUAACAAAUAUAAUAAAUGUCUACCUUUGAUUGAAAAGUUUCAAAUAAAAUAAUGAAACUACAGAUUUUUCAACAACCGCUUAGCUAAAUAAAUGUUGCCAAUAUAGGUUUAGACAGAUUACAAAACAAUACAGGUACACAUAAGUCACACAUUACAGCAUCUAAACUGGAAAAAUAUUACAGAAUGGUGGCAUGCAAGUAUUUUACAUUUUUAAAUGCAAUAAAGAAUGCUCAUUUGUUUCCCUUGAAUAGAUGAAACAGAAUUAAGAUAAAGGCUUAAUUAAAAUAUAAAUAUUCCAUGUGGAGUUGUAUUUUUUUGGGAAAAAAAAAACACCAAAGUGGCAGAGAUAAAAAUUUUAGGUCAGAACAAUUUCUUUCUUAACUAAAGAUUGUCACUGGCAACAUUUGCUAAUAAAAUACAAUUUCUUAAAAUGCACAUUUCCUUCCAUCUCAUUUCAUCAUAUAGCCAGUUCCCAUCUACCCACAUUUAGAUUAUCCAUGGGGAAUUUUUAAUAGUGGGCCAGCUUCUCUCAACUGCACAUGUACUUCUGAUUGGCUUCUCUGUUAUCCAAUCAAUAUGCUCUCAGAAACACACACACACACACACACACACACACACACACACACACACACUCUGUCUCUCAAACCUUAAACAAAAACCUAUGAAAAACAUGCUGUUUACUGUGCUCAAGUUUCCUUCUCUGCAUUUCCCCCUUUCCACCGUCAACCCUGAGGAGAAAAAAUUAGGUAUUUAAAAAUAUCCUUUCAGAAAAGGCUGUUCCUCAAGAACUAUGCUGAAGAUGAACAGACAACUAACAGGGAAGUUCAGACCUGUUCCUCUGAACAAAAAUCUUCCGAAGAGAGAUGAAACUGCAAAGGAAACAUCUCAGAACCACGGGAUCGGAUCGUAAUGUUCGAGGAGCUGGGAAGGGCCUAGGAGAGCACCUACUCCACUCACUUCAUUCUCCGGAUGAAAUGAAGACAAGAUCGAUGGAAGUCUUGCCCAAAGCCACACACAGCUGAUAGCCAAAUCAGUAUUGUUUUCCAAAAAUACCACAUGGUGGCAAAUGGAGUUUUUUUUUUUUUUUGGAGCUGGAGGACAAUUUAAUUCAAGCAACAUUUAUUAAGCACCUAUUGUAUACAAGGCACCUUACUAGAUUCUACUGAGGGCACAAAGUUCGAUGAGAUAGUUGCUGCCUCCAAGUGCUUAUGAAAAGUCCCAUGAGGCCAUGUUUCAAGAUCUUUCUCCACAGAAAAUAAUACUGGGCAGGGCUAAGGUUGCUGGUGAUCACAAAACAGCUGCUGCCCAGGAGAGCUGCUAUCACAAGUGCACCCUGAAGACAGUCUUUCUCUUAGCCCUCUGUCACCCCUCGGGUCAUAGCCUGUCUCACCCUGAGAGGUGACAGAGCUGAUAGGAGGGCAGCAGUGCCCAGACCCUCUCCUCAAAUCACUGUUUCCUUCCCCCAGGUGUCCAGCCUUAGGCUCUCAGCAAGGGUCCUGACCGCAUCCCAAAGAACCACCAGAGUGACUCAGGAACACUCCCGACCACACACAUCACUGGGAUGUAACACCCACUGCCCCCACCAACCACCUGUCCUGUGUCAAUGUGAAAAAUGAAGUAAUUCCAGUCCCUGACGUCAUACUCAUGCCUCUAUUUGCCAUACUCAUUACUCAAAACAUGAGGAAGGUGUAAUUGUUGCUCAGAAGAAAACAGAUUCAAGAGGCAGUGGAAAACAUUAGUGAAGAGAUGAUAAAAAUGACCUCCCACUUUUGUAUAAUCCUGUCGAGUAUAGUAUUUUCAUCUUACUAUCUUAUUAUGCCCUCACCACAACUCUGUGAGGUAGUUAGUGAAGAUAUUAUUCCCAUUAUAAUAUAGCUGAAUAAGCUUGGACUUGAGAGGCUAAGUGGCUUGCCUCAAAGUCACCCAGCUAAGAAAGCAUGGAGCCAAGUGUCCAGGUUUCUUGACUCCAAAUCCAGUGCUCUUCCCCCUGUACAGUCUGUAACUGGCAGGCAAUUAAAUGAAUUGCCCAUGAUCGUAUACCUGCUAAGUGUUGGUGAUGGAAUUAGGAGUCAGUCUCUAAUCUGUCAGUAUGGUGCCCAUUCACCAUACCAACCAGCAAAGCCAGUGUGCUCAGAAUGACUGCCACGGACGAUACCAGAGAAAUUUCUAGCCUCCUUCACCUUCCCCCAAGUCAAUGAUGCAUCACAAAACUGGGACAACCUCUGGUACCCGUGCAGUCUUUCUAGAGCUGUACCCAGAGGCAGUUUCCCAGUUUAGGCCCUGGAACUCCACCUCCAUUCACCCACUGAAUAGUCAAUCACUGAUGUUAUCAGCAGUUGGGAAAGACAUAAGCUAAGCAGAGCUUACUUCUGCCAUUACGCAAGUUAAAACCUCUCAUUUCCAUCUUCCUUCUCCACCUCACUCAGCCUCUUCACUUUACCCAACUCCUGAACCACAAACAAAAUCCAAUCUAAUCCAGAGUUGGUAGCAAGAAACAAGGAAUCGUCCUGGGUUCUGGGUACUUUUUUCUUUCUAGUUUGUUGCAGGGGGGAUGGGGGUGGGGGGGUGGGGGUAGGGGGGAUGGUCAUGUGAUUUUCAUCCAGAGGGCUCAGCCUGACACUCCCAUCAUUCUCACACCUUCUCUUUGCAAGUGUCUCAGUCCUUUAGUUUUGAAGGUGGUACAGUAUGUGAUGGGGAGACUUGAAAUGAGGUACAACAAGGGAAAACUGCUACUGGAAGGCAGAGCUAAAACAUUUAAUCUUCGUUCUCUGCUCAUUAAAAUGAAAGUAGCUAUUACUACAUCAUUAGUGUACGAGAGGAAGGAACCUUCAGGAUCAUGACUUAAAACCUGAUUCCAGAAAGAGUUCCACUGAGUACAGGUAAUGUACCACAGAACCUAGUAUUCACAUCUUACUGCCCCUGCCCGUUUUUGCUGAUGCUAUAAAUACUUGCACUAAAGAUGGUGUCUGCUUUGUAAAAAGGCACUCUACCCUCAAAGUCCAAGAAACACGUAUCAAAUUAUAUCAAUCCAGAGCUUUGUACUUCCUCUGUCUCCUUCACAGUGACUAAGAGAGGGCUAAGUACAUCAUGGUCACGAAAAAGGAAAAUAUCUGCAAGCUCUUUUGUGAAUUUAAAGGGCCACCUUACAUUUACAGCAUGCUGAUGCUUACUCAACACCAGGUUUCAAGUGUGAGGGGCUGAAAGGUUCUCGUGGCAGUUACUCAGAGCACACUGGUUUCCCUAAGUGCUGGUGCCCUGCCAGGGACCACAUUUCUGUCUGGAAGAGAAGCUGCUGUUGUUUCUACCUGGAGUGCUGGCCUUCCCUUAGGGAAACUGUUUUGAGGAACAUAGGCAUUUGGGAUUUCUGAAUUUUGAAAUGGAGAUGGGCUUUUACUGUGCAAUGAACUGUGCACUCUCAGACAGGUGAGCUGCACAUGCCCCUCCAGGUUAGUGACUCUCGCCUAAUGGAGGCCUGUAGCAAUGCUGAAAGGGGUAUAAGGGAAGUGGGACUAGGAGACAGCAUCUCCCUUCAAUCAGUUGUCCAGGUUUAGCCAAAUAGCUUCCUCCAGUAUUUGGCGAUCUUUAUGUACAAAAUAUGUAUACACAUUUGUAUGGUAUACCCUAACACAGAUGGAAGGACGGGGCUGGAUUGCGUUGAUGAAGAUGAAAGAGCUUCUACUUAUACACUUUAGGCAUAUGGAGAGAUUUGGGGCUGAAACAAUGAAAUGAUUUCAAGGUUUCUAAUAUUUAUUCACUAAGGUUACUGUCCAUACAUGCUAUAAAAUUUGGUGGUUGGCAAACUUAAAGUCCAGGGAGUGACUUCACAUUAACCUGGGCCUGCAGCAACUCUAAAAAUGACAAGGGACAUGGAGCUGGGGAGAGAGCACGCCCUUCCAUCAGAUGUCCAGAUGUAGCCAAAUACCCAGUUAGAUAUUAGUUAGAUAUUUGGCCACACACACACACACACACACACACACACACACAUUUAUUUACAUGAGGCCCUACAGAGAUGAAAGGGAUUUAAUCAUGCUGAUGACGAUGAAACAGCUUCCAUUACACACUUCCAUAAGAUGGGGGAUGCACUGCUGGACUACUGACACGACCUCCAGACUUCCAGAAUUCAUCUCCGAAAAGCCACCUUUCAGGAGUCAUGUGAUACAAAGCUGCAGGCCCAGGAGAGUGAUCAUGACCUGAUAUGGGCCUGUACAGGUCUACAAGAGGGAAGGAGGUGGCCUGAGGAGAGAUUAUCUCCCUUCAAUCAGAUGUCCAGAUGUCGCCAAAUAUCUCAACAUAGUAUUUGGCAAGACGUAGAUGUAUAAAAAUAUUUUAUAUACAUUAUGCACCACCAUGAUCAUGAAUGAGCUUCUACGUGCCCACUUUGGGCAGAUGGAGAGAUGAAGUCCUAGGCUAAUUAAGUUAUUUAUAGGAUCCCAAAAUGUAAGUUUAUUUUCUAAUAGUUAUCUUUAACAUAAGGAUACUCAUGUGAAUACUCAUGAAAAUGUCACCUUUCAAGCUACUUUUAAAACACAGGUAAUACUAAGAUAAAAUGAUUAGUAAUAAAUAUUUGAUUUCAUAGACUCUAUUACAUGUAACCCAACUAUUUUACAAGCUGAAAUAGUGCUAAAUUUUGAUAAUACCCCAUUAUCUUACUUUAAUACUAUCAACAACUGCAGCACAGUUACAAUCAAAUUCUGAUUUUUUUCUUUCUUGCUUUUGCCAGCGUUUAUCAGAAGCUGCUUCAGCCCCCAGUCUACAUACAGCACUUGGGGGCCGCAGAAGACACUCUGUAGAAUCCAAGAUUUCUUUGGGGUAAAGGUAAGAAAGACAGUGAAUGAGAAAAGAAAGGAAAAAGCCUUACUAGAAGGGGCAUGCCAGGGACUCAGCACUUAAAUAUAUCUGCAUUGAAUCUAAAAUGAUAGGAGAGAGACUGAGAAAUGUUUUCCCCUUUGGCAACAUGGUAACCAAAACUUAUGUACACUCCAAAAAAUUGUAUACGUUGCUGAUGAAUGUUUAUAAACCAGCAACCUAGUGGAGAAAAGCCCUGAUUUAUAAUAUUUGAUAACUUCCUUGGUAUAAAUACUCCCACCAGGGCCAAUUCCAAACCAGCAACAAGAGGCCCCGAACUUGAGGUUGGAAGAGGUGUGAACCGCACACCAUCACACAGUGUCUGCCACACAGACACAACAGGGCCAGCACUUUUGGGAGCCCAGAAAGCAGUAAAAUCUUUGAGCACUACUUUUGUUUCUAAUACAACAUAUUUAACUGUAAGUGUAUGUCAUUUAAUUGUUAUAAUGGCUGUGUUCAACAAUAUGCAAAAUUCUUGAAAAUUUAAUCAUCAGUCAUCCUGUAUAAGUUGGCUCCAACCUUCCACAGCUAAGUGAUUAGAAGGGAAGGUAAAAAUCAGACUGAAAACCAUUAAAUAAUAUGCACUGUACUUUUUCUAUAGAUAGGGAGAUGUAGUAAAAAAACAACAACCUAAAGACUUCAGAGUUCUAAAAAUGUCAACAUGUUCUGCUCAUUAGUCCCUCACAAAAAAAGUAAAACAUUCUCAAGAAAAUGAGAUGUUUCAAAGGAUUUUAGAGCUACAGAUGUGACUACUUGAAAUACAGGUAAAGGUCUAAUUUGAGAAAGGCUGCCUAUCCUAAACGAUUUCCAUGUGCUUUACAAACUAACUAGAAUAAUAUGUGAAUUGUUUUACGUUAACUGGUUGUACUGCUCUCAAGCAACUCUGGGAACACUCAAUUAUUAAACAGAUCCUGGACUGGACCCACCUUCUGCCGGAAUCAGCACCUCUCUAGCUCCAGGUGUUGCCAGCACAAGGGAAGCCAACUUUGCCAAGGCUCAAAUUACAGAGG